GGGGAAUAUUGGACAAUGGGCGCAAGCCUGAUCCAGCAAUGCCGCGUGGGUGAAGACGGCCUGCGGGUUGUAAAGCCCUUUAGGCGGGGAGGAACGACCGGACGCUAACAUCGUCUGGAAGAGACGUUACCCGCAGAAUAAGCACCGGCUAACUCCGUGCCAGCAGCCGCGGUAAUACGGAGGGUGCGAGCGUUAAUCGGAAUUACUGGGCGUAAAGCGUGCGUAGGCGGUGGGGUCAGUCAGCCGUGAAAGCCCUGGGCUUAACCUGGGAACGGCGGUUGAGACGGCCCGACUUGAGUGGGCUAGAGGAUCGUGGAAUUCCGGGUGUAGCGGUGAAAUGCGUAGAGAUCCGGAGGAACACCGAUGGCGAAGGCAGCGGUCUGGGGCCACACUGACGCUGAGGCACGACGGCGUGGGGAGCAAAC
rnacentral:rRNA from 1 species